AUUGAACGCUGGCGGAAUGCUUUACACAAGCAAGUCGAACGGCAGCACGGGGGCAACCCUGGUGGCGAGUGGCGAACGGGUGAGUAAUACAUCGGAACGUGCCCAGUCGUGGGGGAUAACGUAGCGAAAGUUACGCUAAUACCGCAUACGAUCUACGGAUGAAAGCGGGGGACCGUAAGGCCUCGCGCGAUUGGAGCGGCCGAUGUCAGAUUAGGUGGUUGGUGAGGUAAAGGCUAACCAAGCCGACGAUCUGUAGGUGGUCUGAGAGGGCGACCAGCAAGACUGGGACUGAGACACGGCCCAGACUCCUCCGGGAGGCAGCAGUGGGGAAUUUUGGACAAUGGGCGCAAGCCUGAUCCAGCCAUUCCGCGUGCAGGACGAAGGCCUUCGGGUUGUAAACUGCUUUUGUACGGAACGAAAAGGCUCUGGUUACUACCUGGGGCUCAUGACGGUACCGUAAGAAUAAGCACCGGCUAACUACGUGCCAGCCGCCGCCGUAA
rnacentral:rRNA from 1 species